AAUCAACGCUGGCGGCGUGCCUAACACAUGCAAGUCGAACGAGAAAGGGGGCUUCGGUCCCUGAGUACAGUGGCGCACGGGUGAGUAACACGUGACUUAUCUACCCUCGAGUGGGGAAUAACUUCGGGAAACCGAGGCUAAUACCGCAUAAUACCCACGGGUCAAAGGAGCAAUUCGCUUGAGGAGGAGGUCGCGGCCGAUUAGUUAGUUGCGGGGUAAUGGCCCCACCCAAGACGGUGAUCGGUAUCCGGCCUGAGAGGGCGCACGGACACACUGGAACUGAAACACGGUCCAGACUCCUACGGGAGGCAGCAGUGGGGAAUUUUGCGCAAUGGGGGAAACCCUGACGCAGCAACGCCGCGUGGAGGAUGAAGUCUCUUGGGACGUAAACUCCUUUCGAUCGGGACGAUUAUGACGGUACCGGAAGAAGAAGCCCCGGCUAACUUCGUG
rnacentral:rRNA from 1 species